UUUAAAUGAUGAUUAAAAGAUGUCAGUUCUGCUACUGAAUUACUUCCAUGUAGAUAAUACAUUUGCUUACCAAACAUUCUCUGAGAA
rfam:Smittium culicis strain GSMNP scaffold-320, whole genome shotgun sequence.